rnacentral:rRNA from 1 species
UAGGGAAUCUUCCGCAAUGGGCGAAAGCUUGACGGAGCAACGCCGCGUGAGUGAUGAAGGUCUUCGGAUCGUAAAACUCUGUUAUUAGGGAAGAACAAAUGUGUAAGUAACUAUGCACGUCUUGACGGUACCUAAUCAGAAAGCCACGGCUAACUACGUGCCAGCAGCCGCGGUAAUACGUAGGUGACAAGCGUUAUCCGGAAUUAUUGGGCGUAAAGCGCGCGUAGGCGGUUUUUUAAGUCUGAUGUGAAAGCCAACGGCUACACCGUGGAGGGUCAUUGGAAACUGGAAAACUUGAGUGCAGAAGAGGAAAGUGGAAUUCCAUGUGUAGCGGUGAAAUGCGCAGAGAUAUGGAGGAACACCAGUGGCGAAGGCGACUUUCUGGUCUGUAACUGACGCUGAUGUGCGAAAGCGUGGGGAUCAAACAGG